GCAGACGUACCUCAGCCGUGGAAGAGGGUCUGAUUGUAGCGUAAAGCGCGAGCUCGGAAAGUCGCAGGUUCGAAUCCUGCCGUCUGCACCA
rnacentral:tRNA from 1 species